ensembl:lncRNA
CGGAGCUCUAGGAGAGUGGGCUUCAGUAGUUGGGGUGCGUGGACUCAGUAUUUGAGGCCUCUGAGGUCUAGAGCACAGGCUCAAUAGUUUUGGCUCACAGGCUUAGUUGUUCCAGGGCAUGUGGGAUCCUUCGUGACCAGGUUCUUUGCCAUGUUCCCCAUCGGGCCUCCAGGCGGCGCCACGACCACAUAACAGCCUUUCUUGCCAGGCUCAGUUCAGUUCAGUCGCUCAGUCAUGUUCGACUCUUUGCGACCCCAUGAAUUGCAGCACGCCAGGCCUCCCUGUCCAUCAGCAACUCCCAGAGUUCACUCAAACUCACGUCCAUCGAGUCGGUGAUGCCAUCCAGCCAUCUCAUCCUCUGUCGUCCCCUUCUGGUCCUGCGCCCAAUCCCUCCCAGCAUCAGAGUGUUUUCCAAUGAGUCAACUCUUCGCAUGAGGUGGCCAAAGU